AGCAGGAAGGGCUUUGCUUGCUCUCAGAGGACUCAGGCCUCUGCUGGUGCCUGAGUACAGAGAGCAGAGCUGCAUUUCCAGCAGGUUCUGCCACCCGCCCCAGGGGAGACCUUGGGAGCUUAGCAGCAACUUGACAUCUCCCGAGUCGCCAGAGAGAAGCUGCCUUGUUGUACUGAGUGCUGAGGAGGGGGCGCCGGGUGGCUUCCCUGGUCAAGCUGGUCGCUGAGCUGCACAGGCCUUUGCAUUUUCUGGGCUGUUCCCGUGUGUCAUUCCACCCCUUACCGGACAGUGUUUGAUCAAGACGUAUUUUACUAAAGGACUUGUGGAUUGCGGGGUCCCACGACAUCACCUCAUAGAUGCAGCCGAUGGUUUGUUCCAGAUCCAGGCUUGUUUCCGGGAAGUAACCCUAACAGAAAUUCAGAAGCACGGGAGCUGCAUUCAAUUAGGACGUGGAUCCAUGAAAUGUUCGUCUCACGACCUUCUAGAAGAAGGAGCUGGGACCCAUGUUCCGAGUUCUGCUGGACCCAGAGACCAAGAUCCAGGCUUGUUUCCGGGAAGUAACCCUAACAGAAAUUCAGAAGCACGGGAGCUGCAUUCAAUUAGGACGUGGAUCCAUGAAAUGUUCGUCUCACGACCUUCUAGAAGAAGGAGCUGGGACCCAUGUUCCGAGUUCUGCUGGACCCAGAGACCAAGAUCCAGGCUUGUUUCCGGGAAGGAACCCUAACAGAAAUUCAGAAGCACGGGAGCUGCAUUCAAUUAGGACGUGGAUCCAUGAAAUGCUCGUCUCACGACCUUCUAGAAGAAGGAGCUGGGACCCAUGUUCCGAGUCCUGCUGGACCCAGAGACCAAGGCUUAUUUCACCCAGCAUAACACUCUCUCUCCAUCCACCUCGUGGCAAAUGGCAAGAUUUCACGUUUUUACGGCUAAAUCAUAUUACAUUCCAUAGACCACAUCUCAAUUUAUUCAUCAGUUGAUGGGUGCUUGGAUAGUUUCUGUCAUUUGGCUUUUGUAGAAAAUGCUGCUGUAAACAUCACAGUGCAGGUAUCCCUUU